rnacentral:misc_RNA from 1 species
UCUGGAGCGGCAGCGACCGCCUCCGGAACCGUCCGGUCGGACGCAGGUUCAAAGGAAACUCGACAAGAUAACGGGUCCGUCUCCCAGCGAUGGGUCUUGGACUGCUUCGUAGACUGCAACUAUCAUACUAAUCCCCACACAAGCGGAUUCAAGCGGUCCUUCCUGAAGGGAUUAGAGACAGUCCCUUAGCUCAGUUGGUUAGAGCGCUACACUGAUAAUGUAGAGGUCGGCAGUUCAACUCUGCCAGGGACUACCAAGAAAAGAGGACAUUGACAUACUGGAAGCGAAGACAAGACGUGGCCGUCUCCGAUGAGACACGACGCCACGGCAAGUCAGAAGCAAACACAACGAGUAAAUCAAAUCAAGCGAAACACGAGGACAACCUCGCGUUUCUGAUAAUCGAGUCACAAACAGAACGAUUUCAGAGAGCGAGCCGAGUGAUGUUCGAACCGAUUGAAAAACCAGGUCAUAAAGAAAGGAGACAAGGGCACAUGAAGGAUGCCUUGGCUCUCGGAGGCGACGAAGGACGUGACAAGCUGCGAUAAGCUGCGGACAGGAGCAAAUAUCCCUUGACCCGCAGAUUUC